rnacentral:snRNA from 1 species
CUAACUACCUAGCCAGGGCAACUUCUGGUUCACAAAGGUCAUGAUGACUGUUUCCAAGAUGAUGGGUGUCCAUUGCAUUCAGGGUGCAAUGUACUGUGAGCUUUUCCCAAAUGCGGGAAACUCAAGGGUAUCAUUGGUGACACUGGUAUCAAAGGUAUCAUUGGUAUCAA